ACUCGUGAACGCGAGCGCAGGCGCGCCGGAGGAAACGGAGGCUGCGCUUGCGUAUGUGUGAUGCCGCCGCCCCACCGUCUACUUUCCCACCGACCCCGCUUACGUCUACCGCCUACCAGUGCGUCCCCCGCGGAGCUGUCAUUCCCCGAGGCUUGCCUGACUGUUCAGCUUCUCUCUCCCGCUUGUCCCAGAGAUCCAACUCCAUUCUUCCGGUCUUGUCAUUUCAGAAACCUCGCAAGAAGCUCGCCCUUGUCGUCUCCCAGCGGGCUUCUUAGCUCCCAGCUUGUUUGAUGGGGGUGCCUCUUUUUCUUUCCAGGUAUAGCUGUCCAGCGACACCAUCAUGCAUUCAUUUCUCCAACAAACAUUUUCAUGGGCUCUUGCUCUAUACUGGGGAUGUAGUGGUAAAUGAAAUGGACGAGGCCCUGCCCUCGUGGAACUUACAGUCUGGCAAAGGAAACAGACAAUAAAAUUCUCAGUUGUCUAAGGAGGCAGAGAUGCAUGGGGAGAGGAUCAGAGUAGGGAUGCGGAAGCAGCGAGUGGUCAGGAGUGUGCGUGCCAAAAGGCAGGAGACCUGUGGGACGUGGGGGCAGCUGGGGCCGGAACUUGCGCUGGAGGAACACCCCUUGCCUGCUGGGGCGAGAAGAGGACCCUUUCCUUGGGUGAAAUUCCCCAUAUUGUUAAAAGGACAAUUAAAGAAAUGAAAGAGAGGUCACCUGGGUGAAUAGGCAACUUAGAUGGGCCUCCCUGUGUUCCUGUCAUGCCUCCAAUUCUGCGUCCAGGUGUCCGGAACACAUUUUUUUCUGCCUUUGAAACCUUCCAGUACCUCUGGCAGAGAUAUACCAUACCCUCCUUGUUACCUGCGUGCGGAAUCUUAACUCAUCGUUGUGCUACAUCUGCACCUUCUGCCUUUGUGCCUUGUUUUGUGUUUUCCCUCCUCCGGGGAGAAUAUAAUAAACUUAGCUGAGUCCGUUCUACAUACAAGGAAAUAAUUUAUUUUCUGCUAUGUGUUUGGGGAUGGGGAUAAAAAAAUGAACAAGAAACUAGCUCCUAUCAUUAAGGCACAGAUAGCCCUUUGAAACAUUACUUAACGGGCUAUGGAUAAGCUUCAGGAUAUUGCUGAUCCCCUAAAAUUAUACGCUAACUUAAAUUUUUUUUUUUUUGAGACAGAGUCUUGCACUCUUGCCCAGGCUGGAGUGCAAUGGCAUGAUCUCGGCUCACUGCAACCUCUGCCUCCCCGGUUCAAGCGAUUCUCCUGCCUCAGCCUCCCAAAUAGCUGGGAUUAAAGGUGCCUGCCACCAUGCCCUUUUAAUGUUUUGUAUUUUUAGUAGAGACGGGGUUUCACUAUGUUGGUCAGGCUGGUCUCGAACUCCUGACAUCAUGAUCCUCCUGCCUCGACCUCCCAAAGUGCUGGGAUUACAGGCGUGAGCCACCAUGCCCGGCCUUUUUUUUUUUUUUUUUUUAAUUUGAGAUGGUGUCUCACUCUUGUCACCCAAGCUGGAGUGACGUUGCUAUCUCUGCUCACUGCCCGCCUCCCGAGCUCAGGUGAUCCUCCUGCCUCGGCCUGCCAAAUAGCUGGGACUAUAGACAUGCACCACCAAGCUGGGCUAAUUUCUGUAUAUUUUGUAGAGACGGGGUUUGGCCGUAUUGGGCACGCUGGUCUCAAACUCCUGGGUUCAAGUGAUCCACCUGCCUUAGCCUCCUAAAGUGCUGGGAUUACAGGCGUGAGCCACCAUGCCCGACCGAUAAGCUAGCUUUGUAACAUUAAUGACUAUUGAACUAAAAUAAUGUUUAUAAAUUGUUUAAAAUAUGUAUGCUUAUAAUACUAAAAGGCUUGUAAUGAAAAAAGCAGUUCCCUGUCCUACUCUUUGGAGGCAAUAUGCUCAACUCUUUCACAAAUUCAUCCUGAUAUUUACCUUCAUAAUCCCUUUCUUUCUUUCUUUCUUUCUUUCUUUCUUUCUUUCUUUCUUUCUUUCUCUCUCUGUCUUUUUCUUUCUUUCUUUCUUUCUGAUAGGGUUUCACUUUGUUACUUAGGCUGGUGUGCAGUGGCACACUCUUGGCUCACUGAAGCCCCGAUUUCCCUGGGCCCAAGCAAUCCUCCGGCCUCAGACCCCAACUAGCUGGGACUACAGGUGGCCACCAAUAUGUCCAGCUAAUUUUUGUAUUUUUAGUAGAGACAGGGUUUCACCGUGUUGCUUCGGCUGGCCUCGAACCCCUGAACUCAAGCGAUCCGCCUGCCUUAGCCUCCUAAAGUGCUAGGAUUACAAGUGUGAGUCACCGUGCCCGGCCUACCUUCAUGUUUCUAAGUAAAUGUUUAUACCAUUAUUUUUUGGUUUGUGAAUUUUUAGCAUUAUGUGUUGACUUCCUGACACGGUAGAUAAGAACUUGACUCUAUCACUUCUGCUUCCCACCAUAUAUAGCUGCGUAAUAACUUUUGGUAAAACCAAUAAUCUGCACCUAGCUGUAUUAAAAUUAUUAUGUAUGCAAAUAUUGUUUACUGAUGAGCCAAGAAAUGCACUAUAAUCAUGACUUCUAGUUUACAUGGCCCUUCAUUUUUCUUAGGGUUAAUUAUUGCCUUUUUUCUCUCAUCUGUCUGAUUUUCUGUAAACAGUAUUUACAGUUGGUUUUUCCCCUCAAAUGCUCUAAGACUAUCAAAAAGUCUAGCAAUAAUGUUUUCCAUAUACUCAAUAUAUAAGUUCCACUUUUUCUUUGGAGUUUUUGUCCCAGAGCCUUCCUUCCUCUUAUUUCAAUCUGGACUGGCUGCUCGCUAGACUUGCUGUACAGUUGUCAUUCUGGAAUUUUCCUUCAUUGUUGUUCUGGGGUGGUUUUGCCCAUUUCCUGGAUCCCAUGUCUUCCUCUUGGUUUACUUCCUUGUUUUGCUAAAGCAUCUCCUCUAAUAACUUCCUAAGAAAGGGAGAUGGGGGAUAUAUGUUGUUAGAAUCUUUGCAUAUUUGAAAAUAUGUUACUUCUAUUUAACACUUGAUGUGUUGUUGGGCUAGAUAUUCAAGUUUGAAAAUAAUUUUCCCUUUUUUUUUGAAGGUAUACUACAUUUUCUUUUUUAUUUAUUU
rnacentral:lncRNA from 10 species